GGGGAAUUUUCCGCAAUGGGCGAAAGCCUGACGGAGCAAUACCGCGUGAGGGAGGAAGGCUCUUGGGUUGUAAACCUCUUUUCUCAGGGAAGAACACAAUGACGGUACCUGAGGAAUAAGCAUCGGCUAACUCCGUGCCAGCAGCCGCGGUAAUACGGAGGAUGCAAGCGUUAUCCGGAAUGAUUGGGCGUAAAGCGUUCGUAGGUGGUUUUUCAAGUCUGCUGUCAAAGCGCAGGGCUUAACUCUGUAAAGGCGGUGGAAACUGAAAAGCUAGAGUGCGGUAGGGGUAGAGGGAAUUCCCGGUGUAGCGGUGAAAUGCGUAGGGAUCGGGAAGAACACCAGCAGCGAAAGCGCUCUACUGGGCCUGCACUGACACUGAGGGACGAAAGCUAGGGGAGCGAAUGGGAUUAGAUACCCCAGUAGUCCUAGCCGUAAACGAUGGAUACUAGGUGUUGCCUGUAUCGACCCGGGCAGUGCCGUAACUAACGCGUUAAGUAUCCCGCCUGGGGAGUACGCGCGCAAGCGUGAAACUCAAAGGAAUUGACGGGGGCCCGCACAAGCGGUGGAGUAUGUGGUUUAAUUCGAUGCAACGCGAAGAACCUUACCAGGGCUUGACAUGUCGCGAACCUCAGGGAAACUUGAGGGUGCCUUCGGGAGCGCGAACACAGGUGGUGCAUGGCUGUCGUCAGCUCGUGUCGUGAGAUGUUGGGUUAAGUCCCGCAACGAGCGCAACCCUCGUCCUAAGUUGCCAGCAUUAAGUUGGGCACUCUGAGGAGACUGCCGGUGACAAACCGGAGGAAGGUGGGGAUGACGUCAAGUCAGCAUGCCCCUUACGUCCUGGGCUACACACGUACUACAAUGCUACGGACAAAGGGCAGCCAGACAGCAAUGUCGAGCAAAUCCCAUAAACCGUGGCACAGUUCAGAUUGCAGGCUGCAACUCGCCUGCAUGAAGGUGGAAUCGCUAGUAAUCGCAGGUCAGCAUACUGCGGUGAAUCCGUUCCCGGGCCUUGUACACACCGCCCGUCACACCAUGGAAGCUGGCUUAGCCCGAAGUCGUUACCCUAACCCGCAAGGGAGGGGGACGCCGAAGGCAGGGCUGGUGACUGGGGUGAAGUCGUAACAAGGUAGCUGUACCGGAAGGUGUGGCUGGAUCACCUCCUU
rnacentral:rRNA from 1 species